CCGGGUCAGCCGAGCAUUUCCGCUUCCCACAGCCCCCUGGGAACGUGAAGUCAAAGCAAUGCGCACGCGCAGUGGCUUUGAAGGCGGGGCAACAAAGCCUGUGGCCGAUGUGGCGCUCCUCGGCCCGCGCUUCAGUGGUUAUGACAGUGUUCGCUCUAAGGGGAGAAGGAAUGUGUGACCAUUUCCAACGGUUAACUUGCAUUCCCCAGAUAGUUUGGAUGAGUUACAACCUAAAUCUGCAAACUCAAUACAGCCAGACCCUGGGAAGUGACUCUCUCCAAGCCUCCUGUACAAGUCCCAGGAAAAGAGCCUGUUUUCCCUUGGACAUGUGAGCAGUGAAUUACUGCUCAUUCAGAAUUUCAUGUGUAUGUGUUACUGAUGGCCAGGUUUAGAGAUACCAACCUAUUUAUUUCUAGAGGAGAGGUGAUUUGAUAACCUUUUCAGAUAUCACUAUCAGUAGGCAGAAAAGGGUUAAUAGUAUGAUAGGGUUAAUAUGUCCUGAGGAGAGUAAAGAAAUUGCAAACUGCAGAAGCACCUGAUCUGUGGCCCUGGCCAGCAUCUCUCCAUAUCCUGAUUCUGUAAGAUCAAGUGUUUAUGCAGAAAGAGAAGGGACUGAUGAUUUGAAUGUGACCAGAUGCAGGGCAUGCCCUUAUUGCCAUGCCAGCAUUUGCUAUUCAUGAUGUUAGUAUUCAAAAAUCAAGAAACACCCUUCCUGGGCCAUUGGUGUCUACUAAUCCAUUGGAAGAAAAGACUGGAAUCCACCACUUACUAGCUUCUUGGGCCUCAGUCCCCUCUUUUCUGCCAUAGCUAAGGACCACCUAACCUAGAUGGCUGUUGUUAUUGUUCAAAGGGACAUCUUUAGAGCCUCAAGCCCAGGAAUAGCCCGUGGCAGGCACCUGGUAAAUGUUAGUUUUCAUUGUCCUAUCCCAACACUAUGAAACAUGCAGCACUCUCUGCAACUGCCCCUGUGGAUUUCCAUAGGCAGGAGAGUAUCCAGUGUUGAGUGGAGCUGGUAUUCUCAGAAACGAAGCCCCUUUCCUCAUUUUGCGCCAAUCUCUUCAGUCAUUUUUACCCUAGUAGUAUAAUGCUUUGUCAAAGUCACUGUCAUCUGAUGUUAACAGUUGUUUUCGCCAGAUGACUUUUCAAAAGGUAACUUCACCAUAAUACCGGUUAAUGUGAUAAAAACACUGCAUGUAGCCAAUUUUUUUUUUUUUUGAGAUGGAGUUAUUGGCUCUUGUUGCCCAGGCUAGAGUGCAGCGGCGUGAUCUUGGCUCACUGCAACCUCCAUCUCGUGGGUUCAGGUAAUUCUCCUGCCUCAGCCUCCCGAGUGGCUGGGAUUACAGGCACACGCCACCAUGCCCAGCUAAUUUUUUUGUAUUUUUAGUAGAGUCGGGGUUUCACUAUAUGUUGGCCAGGCUGGUCUCGAACUCCUGACCUCAGGUGAUCCGCCUGCCUCAGCCUUCCAAAGUGCUGGGGUUACAGGUGUGAGCCACUGCACCCAGCCAAAUAUUUUCUUAUUUAUUUAUUUAUUUUAGAGACAGGAUGCCAUUAUGUUGCCUAGUUUGGAAUGCAGUGUCUAUUUAGAGGCGUGAUCAUGGCAUACUAUAGCCUCGGCUCAAAGGACCCUGGUCUCAAAGGACCCUGCCACCUUAGCCUCCUGAGUAGCUGGGACAAGUGUGCGCCACCACACCUGGCUAAUUUUUUAAAUUUUUUGUAGAGAUAGUGUCUCGCUAUGUUGCCCACGCUGGUCUGGAAUUCCUGGACUCAAGGCCUCUUCCUGCCCUCAGACUUCCAAAGUGUUAGGAUUACAGGGUGAGUCACCACGCCCAGCCAGUGUGAAUUUUCUAAUGCUGAGUAAGUUGUGAUCCAGAAGUAAAUGUAUCUGCAAGCUGAUUUAAAUUGUAGAUUUUCUCUUCAUUGCAUAUUUUCUGAUGUUGAAUAAAGUCUGAGUAUUAACUAAAGUUUUUGCUUCUUAAAUAUGUAAGAAUUGUCCUCAAAAUCUCUAUUCUUGAGCACAGUAGUAAAAAUAUUUUUACAUACAUUGUAUUUCAAGGGUUCUGCAUAAGCAACCUUGUUUUAUUGUGACAAUUUAUUUGGGAAUUGUAUCAAAUAUAUAAUACUGAGAUGUUCUCAUUCCUUUUGUGAAAAUACUUUUGUUUAAAAACCACUGCCUUCAAAUGAAAACCACUAGGUUUGUUAUGCUUGCCUCAUCUUUUCUCGGUGUUUUUCUUUCAUUUUUUAAAAAUACAUGUCUUUCUUUUUUAUACCUAAAACAGUGGGUUUUUAAAAUGUGAUAUGUGUAUGCGUUGUAUAAUGGUUACCACAAUCAACUAAUACAUCCAUCACCAUCCAUACUGUACCUUAGAUCUGCAGAACUUGUUCAUCGUAGAAUGUUUUUACCUUUUAGGUCAGACGUGGUGGCUCACGUCUGUAAUCCUUGCACUUUGGGAGGCCAAGGUGGGUGGAUUGCCAGAGCUCGGGAGUUCAAGACCAUCCUGGGAAACAUAGUGAAACCCUGUCUCUACUAAAAAUACAAAAAAUUACCCACGUGUGGUGGUGCGCACCU
rnacentral:lncRNA from 1 species